rnacentral:rRNA from 1 species
AUAUGCUUACAACAUAGUGUUUAUGCACCGGAUCCCAUUAGAAAUCCACAGUUAAGCAUGCUCGGGCUAGAUUAGUAUUGGGAUGGGUGACUGCCCGUGAUGCCCUAGUAUUUUACAUGCC